AACGGACGCUGGCGGCAUGCCUAACACAUGCAAGUCGAACGAAGGCUUCGGCCUUAGUGGCGCACGGGUGCGUAACGCGUGGGAACCUGCCCCUUGGUUCGGAAUAACACAGAGAAAUUUGUGCUAAUACCGGAUAAUGACUUCGGUCCAAAGAUUUAUCGCCGAGGGAUGGGCCCGCAUAGGAUUAGCUUGUUGGUGAGGUAACGGCUCACCAAGGCGACGAUCCUUAGCUGGUCUGAGAGGAUGAUCAGCCACACUGGGACUGAGACACGGCCCAGACUCCUACGGGAGGCAGCAGUGGGGAAUAUUGGACAAUGGGCGAAAGCCUGAUCCAGCAAUGCCGCGUGAGUGAUGAAGGCCUUAGGGUUGUAAAGCUCUUUUACCCGGGAUGAUAAUGACAGUACCGGGAGAAUAAGCUCCGGCUAACUCCGUGCCAGCCGCCGCCGUAA
rnacentral:rRNA from 1 species